CCGGUGGCUCCGGCACAAAGGACGGCGCCGGGCCGGCCGGGGGGAGCCGCGGCGGUGCCCGGGGGGAUCCCGCUCCCUCCCCGCCCCUCCGCCCGCCCCUGUCCCCUCCCUCCACUCGGCAGCCGGGGCGGGCGGCUGAGAGCCGGGUCCGGCGCACGGGGAGGCAGAGGCGGAGAGGCGGGCGAUGGGGAAGGAGCCGCGGCGGUGAUCCUGCGGGCGUCGUCAGGGAGAAACGCGGCGGGAGGGGCGAGAAAGGAGAAGAAGAAGGAGGAAAAGGGAGGGCGGGCCCGGCCCCCUCCCCUCUCCGCCGCGCCGAGGAGGGAGGGCGGACACGAUGCCCGGCUGGCGGGCGCUGCCCGCCCGCCCGCAUGGAGACCGCCGCCCGUAGCGGGGCUGCCGCGCCGCACCGCGGGGUGCGUCUUUGAAUGAGAGGUCAGAAAAAAUGCAACAUGAAGGGAGCUUCAUAUAGACCACUUAAAGAAGUUCACCAUGAUGGAAAGGACUGUGGUAUCCCAUGUAACGAGAAACUUCAUGCAGACAAUCUCAAAGCAUGUGCAUGUGAGGGGUUGAUCCUCACCAACAUUUCCAGGUAUCGUGAAGAGGAUCACAUCACAACCUCCAUGGUGUGUUCGCCCAGGCUGAAGACCUUGGGACAUGCCAGGGGAGACACAGGAGGAGACUUCGCAUCCGUGGAGGGAUCCUGCUCAGCUGGGCAGCAGGAAACCUGAUAAAUUAGUGAAAGGGGUCACCACCAGUUGAAGCUCCUGAUGCAGCACUACGGAAAUUAAGAGAUUUUGACAAAGGAUCAGACUAAAUGCACUUUAUUCACAGAAUGGUUGGAUUAGGAAGGGAACUCUGGACAUUGUCUAGUCCAACCCACCUGCUAAAUCAGGUUCACCAGAACACGUCACACAGGAAUGUGUCCAGGUGGGUUUUGAAUUUCUCCAGAGAAGGAGACUCCAUAGCCUCUCUGGGCUGUGCCUGGAGGCUGCAGCUCGCUGUACCCAGCUGGGAGAGAAGCCCCUGCCUGGCCCCUCGGGCACACCCGGGAUAGCGGACCCUUCCUCGCUGUCACCACACUGACACCUAGCAGAGAGGUCCAAGGCUCUGAGGAUGCUCUUUCCCACUGGCAAUGGGACUGAGUGGGGGAACUGGGGGGGGCCAGCAAAGACCGAGGCGAUGCACAGGUGGAUCCCAAAAGGGACCUGCGGCCAGAGCAGCUUUCCCUCCAGCCCACGCUGCCCUCGGCACCUGCUGCACUGCGUCUGAGGCUGCAUACGGAUUUCCUGGGGAGAAGGCACUGCUGACACGGCCCUGGGGCUGCAGGGACCCAUGGCUGUGCCCCCCAACAGGCUGGUGACCCCACGGUGCGGCCAGGGCAGGGAAAGGCGCCAGGAGAAGUGGGAGAAAGCAGCACACAGAGACUGUGUCAGGAAACAGGAAUUUAUUCCUUUUUCUUCAAUAUAGAUUUGUCAGAGCCCUGCUACUGUCGACGGCGGGGCGGCCUCUUGCAGGGCUGGGGAGAGUCCUGGGGGCCAGGGCUCUUCCUCUUUACGGGGCGCCGGGGCCCCCUGGACGAGCAGUCCCUGUCACGGUCGGGAGCGGAGGGGCUGUGGCUGCAGCCCUGGGCAGAGGGACCUGCUGCCACCGCCUGCCCCAGCUCCUCCUGGGGCUGCUCUUGCUCUGCAGGGACAGGUACAGACUGGGAGCGAAUGGGACUCCUGCACGGGGCGGCCGUCGACGAGCUGGGCUGCUCCUCCAUGUUGGAGCCUGCAGAGCUGCUGGAGGAGGCCAGGCUGGAGUCAGGAUUCCGCCAUUGGGAGCUGGUGGGGCUGGGGCUGGCUGCUGGGCUGUCCUCCUCCUCCUCGGCAGCGUAGGACCACAGCAGCCUCCAGGCCUCCUGGCUGCACCGCUGCUCGAUGAUGUUGAUGAGGCCAUGGACCAGCGGUGCUGCGUGUUCCUCGAGUCCGGGCUGCAUCCGCUGGACCACGGCCUCCUCGUCCAGCCCGCAGCAGCACAGGUCGUUUAGGAGCAGCUUUUCUGCUGCCCUUGCCAGCCACCACUCUUCCUCAUAGAUGGCCUCCAGCUGCCGGCGCAGCCAGGGCAGCACAGGGCGCAGGAGAUACUGGUGUCUCUGGAAAAGCGUCGCCCAGAUCUCAGGUGGGAGGCCACCCACAGUAACCCUGGCCUGUGUCCCCGUAGCCCCCUGCUCUCCCAGGAACGGCAUCCCCUGCGGAGAGGACGGAGGGGACACCGUGGGGCCAUGGGGGCUGCUGUUGGCCGGGGGGCUGGGAGCUCUGGCUGCCUGGCUGCUGGCGACUGACGGCUGUGCGGGGGGCGUGAUGACGAGCUCCAGGUAGUCAUCUUCUGCCCGCACAGAAAACUGGAUCUGCUCCAUCUGUUGUCUGCAGAGCGGGCAGUUCGAUGUCCUUUUAGCCCACCGCAGGAUGCAGCCCAGGCAGAACUGGUGUUGACACGGCUGCACGAAUGCGAUGUCCUUCUGGGCUUCCCGGCAGAUGGGGCAGGUUCUUUCUUCCUCCGCGGCCAUGUUUGUGCUGCACGCGGGGUUGGGGAGAGCUAAGGAUGAGGAGCUGCUCCUCCUUGCUUGUGCUUGCUGUACAAAAGUGUGUUGCACGCUGCAAAAUUGAGAGAGGCCUUGGUCAUUCCACGUCCCAGGAAGGGGAGAAGAGGACAAAAUGUCUAGGCCCCUGGAAAACAACACACUCCUGGCUCCCCAAUCCCCAUCAGCCACCCACGGCCACCCAGGGGGACGUUUCCCCACACAGCUCACCUCUGCUGCUGCAAGCGUGUCUGCAGUGCCCGGCUGCCUGAACCAGGCAGGGCCGGGGAAACACAAGGGAUGGCUCUGCAAUGGGCACCGAGAGCUGCUGACAGCAGCCCCCAAAGCACCACCCAGCACCACGAGAAGCCUCGCUCAGAGCUCCAGACCUCGCAAGCUGCUCGGCAGGAGUCCAGGCACGAGCCAGGCUGGGCCAGGCUCUGCUGACGCCCCAAGAUAAACAGCGAGGGACGUGAGGUCACAGUCCAUUGCUUGAUGAUGUCACCAUCCACCCCUCGGUUAAGCAAGCCUCUGCCACCCAGUGAUGUCACCACAAGCCUUCUGACCCUUCAGGUACAUGGCAUCAGGAGAAAAAAUAAAUCUCAGUUCUUGUCUUCAUUUUCUACAUUUCGCUGACAGUUUAGCUUGGUCACCUGAAACAUACCCCCGUGAGUGUGUGACUCCCUGAUUUACAGGGAGGUUCUGGGCAGUUGGUGUCCAGCCCUGAGUGAGAAUCUCCCACCCUGCUGGGUCCUGCCCCCUGUGCCAGUGACAAGCCUAAAGGGACAUUUUGCUCCAGCCCCACCCACUCCUGCUGGCACUCACCCACAGUGCCAGGUCUGUCUCUGCUUACUGAGUUUGCCAGGCCUCUGGUGGCUGGUGCUCCUGGCCAACUGUUGUGUUGGUGGUCCUCAAAAGCACCAGCAGUGGAGCCUGAUCCUGUACCCACAGGAAGGAGUUGUAGCUGCUGUCACUCCAGAGGACGGUGGAAGGGCUGUAGUUGCCUGCUCAUGACUCCGGGGAGCCCAGGAUCAGUCACCGCAUGGGCUGUGCUGUCCCAUCAUCCAUGAUUGCCCCUCGCUUUUAUCGUUGUGUCUAGUCAUUAGUCCAAGCAGUGGCUUUUUGUUUGUUUGUUUUAGGAGAACAGUAUAUUUUAGUUUUAAGUUUGACCACGUGAGAGGAAAAUGAAGGUGAUGUUUAAGCUGUCUGUAUGAUUUUGCCCAUUGAAAUCUCAUGAGGUGACAACCCAUAUUUUCUGGUUGUAGUGCUUCUCGUCUAUAUCAAUGGCAGAGGCAAAGACAUCCAGAAAUCAGUGAAAGGGGCCACCACCAGUUUAAUCUCCUGAUGCAGCACUUGGCACGAUGGGGUUGGGGCAGCCCUGUGGCUCCUGGUGCUGUUUCUGUGCAGAGUUGCUGACGCCGCCAACACUGGGAAAACCCCACGGACCCUGUUCAGUGCUGCCCUUCCACCAGUUGUACUGGUUUGCCAAGGGUUAUAGUAUCGAUAGUGUAUAUGUGACAGGAAAAAUCAUAACUUAACCUGAGAAAGGUCUUUUUCUUCAUGUGGGGUUAUUCAGCAUCCCCAGGAGCACUCCGUGCCAUGAGUCUGUGCCCGUGCUGGUGUGAAGCAGAGUAAUAAUGAGGGAUUGAAUUAUUACAACUCUCAUCUUUGCAGAUUAAUGAGGGAUAAUUUCAUGUAAGAAAACAGAAUUUGGAAAUUGAUUUUGGUAAUUGAUUUUAGCAAUAAAGUGGUCAUUCUUGACUUAGUGAAACAAAACGUUUUUCUAAGAGUUGACUCUAAUACAUGUUCUACUUAAAACGCGUAAUCAGAAUUUGAAAUUGCUGAAUAUCUUGCUCAGGCAUUUUCAAAUGGAAUCCUGUUUUUCCUUUAAAAAUGUAGUAAUAGGUACUGUGAAGUAGAUCUGUAACAAAACCACAGAAAGUCUAACAUUGAAGUGAAAUGUUCAGAAUUAAUUUCCUUGUUUACACUGGGAUAAGCCUACUUCACCAUAGUUUCAGCUUAGAAGUAUUCCUUCAUGUUUUAACUUCUAAUGGUGAUUUUGGGUGGGAAAUGCUUUCUGAUACAAAGACAUGUUCUGGUUGGAAAAGCUCUUUUUUGUCCUAUUUCAGCCAUGUUUAUUCUCUUACUCACUGCAACUUUGUUGUUUGAACUAAGGAUUUCCUCACUGUACAUGUCUUUCCUGAUGUCAUGACUAAUAGAUCACACUAAGAUGGAGCUUCCAUUUUGGUACAAAAAAGUAUUUUCCUAAGCUUUUUUAUAAUAUUUGCACUUUGCCAAUACUCCAAACAUAGAUUUUCUUCCAGUUUGAGGAAUCUAAAACUGCCCAAGAAUUACUCUUCUUGGGUCAUGUUAGCGAUAUCUGCUGACAGCUGAGUUUAUUUACUAGGUUCCUGUGUGUAAAAGACUCUGGUGGCUUUGAACAGAUACAUUCAGUCAAACUUGUAAUUACUAGUUUUGUCAGCAGUGACACACAGGGAAAUCCAAACAGCAUUGGAGUAAAAGAAGAAAUUAGUGCUCAGCAAAGCUCCUUUAUCAGGCAUUCUCUCUCAGUGUCAGAUCAUUCAUGAUACAUACAAUUAAACUGUCACCUACAACACAGCAUUACAGGGACAAAAAAAAGACAAGCCCAAACUCAACAACCGUACUAGUUGCCAAUGAUUCAAAUUUGCCACCCACUUACGACACAUAUUCUGCCUCACACGUUUGAUUUUGCCACUCACUAUCCGGUAGGGUGGAAGAAUGUUCUGUCUUUAAUAAACUGACCCCUUUUCUGUUUCCACAGUGUUUUUUCAAAGACAAGAGAAGGGCACGUUCAUCACACCAUGGGCCUUGUGCCUCCCUCUGCUGUGCAACCAUGAGAAAAGCACAGGUGUGCAGAAACUGUGUCAGAGAUCCUGAUGUUCUGAAAUGUUACUGUGGGCCUAUUAGGAGCGUGCUGGCCUAGCAUCAACGCUGUUUACGCAACAUAUAAAGAUCCAUUUCAGAUGGAUGAGACAUUUUGUACUAAAAAAAAAAAAUAAAUCUUUGUACAAUUAAAUACAA